GUGCUCACUUCGGCAGCACGUAUACUAAAAUUGAAACGAUACAGAGAAGAUUAGCAUGGCCCCUGCACAAGGAUGACACGUCCUGGGCUUUGGGGGUGUUACUCCUUC